UACGGGGGGGGCAAGCGUUGUUCGGAAUUACUGGGCGUAAAGGGCGCGUAGGCGGCCUUCUAAGUCGGACGUGAAAUCCCUCGGCUUAACCGAGGAACUGCGUCUGAUACUGGAAGGCUUGAAUCCGGGAGAGGGAUGUGGAAUUCCAGGUGUAGCGGUGAAAUGCGUAGAUAUCUGGAGGAACACCGGUGGCGAAGGCGGCAUCCUGGACCGGCAUUGACGCUGAGGCGCGAAAGCUAGGGGAGCAAACGGG
rnacentral:rRNA from 1 species